rnacentral:rRNA from 1 species
UACGUAGGGUGCAAGCGUUGUCCGGAAUUAUUGGGCGUAAAGAGCUCGUAGGCGGCUUGUUGCGUCGGCUGUGAAAUCCCGAGGCUCAACCUCGGGUCUGCAGUCGAUACGAGCAAACUAGAGUGUUGCAGGGGAGACUGGAAUUCCUGGUGUAGCGGUGAAAUGCGCAGAUAUCGCUUGGAACGCCAACGGUGAAAACAGGUUGCUGGGGGUGUGCUGACGCUGAGACACGAAAGCCAGGGGAGCGAACGGG